GAUGAACGCUGGCGGCGUGCCUAAUACAUGCAAGUCGAGCGAACGGACGAGAAGCUUGCUUCUCUGAUGUUAGCGGCGGACGGGUGAGUAACACGUGGAUAACCUACCUAUAAGACUGGGGUAACUUCGGGAAACCGGAGCUAAUACCGGAUAAUAUUUUGAACCGCAUUGUUCAAAAGUGAAAGACGGUCUUGCUGUCACUUAUAGAUGGAUACGCGCUGCAUUAGCUAGUUGGUAAGGUAACGGCUUACCAACGCAACGAUGCAUAGCCGACCUGAGAGGGUGAUCGGCCACACUGGAACUGAGACACGGUCCAGACUCCUACGGGAGGCAGCAGUAGAGACUCUUCCGCAAUGGGCGAAAGCCUGACAGAGCAACGCCGCGUGAGUGAUGAAGGUCUUCGGAUCGUAAAACUCUGUUAUUAGGGGAGAACAUAUGUGUAAGUAACUGUGCUCAUCUUGACGGUACCUAAUCAGAAAGCCACGGCUAACUACGUG
rnacentral:rRNA from 1 species